GGCGAACUCGACGGCCAGGAGGCGGGACAAAAAGCACGGAUUGGCGGCGUGAGAGGGGGACGUGCCGAGGGAGGCGGGACUAAGACGAGCGAUUGGCUGAGCAAGUGGGAAGAUGAUCUUCCAUGAAAACCUCUAUUCUGCGAUUUAUGUCCUCCUCAUGGUCCGAUUGGCUCAUUCCCAAUAGUUCAACUCCCUUCCAUUGGUCUAGAAAGGACACUACAACCCGCAACCGGGAUGUUCAGGAAGAAAAUGAACCUUAGAGUGGGGACAUCAACGACACAAGGGAGCAGCUAAGCAGUCCACCAGGCAGACGACAGAAACCAGGACCCGCUGAUCACAGAACCUGUGGUCACCAGUGUGGUGGGCGAGGUGUUUGCAUUUGUCUACAAUACUUGCCUCUUAGUGAAGACAAUCCCCUUCCCCUUUCAGAUCCUACGAGCACAAAGACUGUAUUUGGUGCUGUGAAGUCUUCGCUGCAAAUGCUGAUGUUCCUCUUUAAUAGAAAGAGCAGAGAAGUACCUGGGGGAAGCUCAGUCGGUUCAGCAUCUGACUCUUGAGUUUGGCUCAGGUCAUGAUCUCAUGGUUUGUGAGCUCAAAGACUGCAUUGGGCCUCUGUGCUGACAGCACAGAGCAUGCUUGGGAUUCUCUCCCCCUCUCUCUCAAGAUAAAUAAACAUAUAAAUAAG